AGUGAACGCUGGCGGUAGGCCUAACACAUGCAAGUCGAACGGCAGCACAGGAGAGCUUGCUCUCUGGGUGGCGAGUGGCGGACGGGUGAGGAAUACAUCGGAAUCUACUUUUUCGUGGGGGAUAACGUAGGGAAACUUACGCUAAUACCGCAUACGACCUACGGGUGAAAGCAGGGGAUCUUCGGACCUUGCGCGAUUGAAUGAGCCGAUGUCGGAUUAGCUAGUUGGCGGGGUAAAGGCCCACCAAGGCGACGAUCCGUAGCUGGUCUGAGAGGAUGAUCCGCCACACUGGAACUGAGACACGGUCCAGACUCCUACGGGAGGCAGCAGUGGGGAAUAUUGGACAAUGGGCGCAAGCCUGAUCCAGCCAUACCGCGUGGGUGAAGAAGGCCUUCGGGUUGUAAAGCCCUUUUGUUGGGAAAGAAAUCCAGCUGGCUAAUACCCGGUUGGGAUGACGGUACCCAAAGAAUAAGCACCGGCUAACUUCGUGCCAGCAGCCGCAGUAACAC
rnacentral:rRNA from 1 species